CAGCUGUGAGGGGGUCCCGGGAAAAUGGUGCUGAUUAAGGAAUUCCAUGUGGUUUUGCCAUGUUCUGUUCAGGAGUAUCAGGUUGGGCAGCUUUACUUUGUUGCAGAAGCUAGUAAGAAUGAGACUGGCGGUGCAGAAGGAAUUGAAGUCUUAAAGAAUGAACCUUAUGAGAAGGAUGGAGAAAAGGGACAGUAUACGCACAAAAUUUAUCAUAUAAAGAGCAAAGCUCCUGCAUUCGUGAGGAUGAUUGCUCCUGAGGGCUCCUUGGUGUUUCAUGAGAAAGCCUGGAAUGCAUACCCCUACUGUAGAACAAUUGCAACGAAUGAAUAUAUGAAAGAUGAUUUCUUCAUUAAAAUUGAAACAUGGCACAAAACCAGACUUGGGAACACUAGAAAAUGUACACGGUUUAGAUCCAAACACAUGGAAAACUGUUGAAACUGUCCACAUAGAUAUUGCAGAUCAAAGUCAAGUUGAACCAGCAGACUACAAAGCUGAUGAAGACCCAGCAUUAUUCCAGUCAGUCAAGACCAAGAGAGGCCCUUUGGGACCCAAC